CGUGUACUCGUAAAUCAUUCGGAGCGACAGGGGAGGAAUGAAAACAGGGUCGAGAGAGAGCCGAGGAGCCCAACAACACGUGAAAACCCCAGAUUGAGACGGAAGCCAUCGGACCCUCGCCGGCUCCGGGGCUGCGUGCUGUGUAACGCUUUGGUUUGGGUUAACUGAUAGUUGGCCCGCAUUGACGUACACAGCAAAGCACGUCUCCUCCCCGCUGUCCAAGCCACGUAUUUAAUCUUGGCAGAGGGAGGUCUUUCAAGUAGAAACGAUGACUCGCCCCCAAUCGCACAGGAUGACCUUUUCAGCUCUCAACCGUCAAUACAUCAGAGUAGAAAUAAAACAGAGAAGGAUUUUAUCUACGGACAUCUGAAUGUGUGAAUGAUUGCUGAUACGAUUGCCUGUUUACAUGAUGAGUCGAUCGAAAAGGAAUUCCAAAUACUCAAACGCGGCUUCUCAAAUGGGAGGAAUUCAUUGGUUUUUUUGGUGCAAAAUGAAUAUCUUCGAGAUUCAGACAAAAGAAAAAACCUUUGGAGACGUCACCUGGGAGUGUGGGUUUCAUUUUUGACCAUAUUCUGACAUUUUCUCGACUAAAGCAACCAGUGUGUCGACAGGCCUUUUGCUGUAAUAAAGCCGAACGCAAUCGGCCUCCUUCAAGUUCAAGGCGCCUCAGAUAUGCACGCUUGAUCUGCCGGACAGAAAGGUCCCCAGCGCACGCAACCCGGGGGCCAGCAGCAGUUGUUGUUGGGGGGGGGGUCGAGAAAAGAGAGAACAGCGGCGAAGCCCUCAACACCCGGCCCCAAGAAUGCGAGCGAUUCUUCAAUUUCCCGCUUCGCCGACUGUCUUAACACGCCGCACUCACAGAGGCCAUCAUUAUAGCCGGAGCGCACUCCCAGUGAGAGGCAGAGCCGCCUGGUGUGGAAGCGAGAGAGAGAGGGAGAGAAAGAGGGAGAGGGGGAGAACCAUCCAGGUGUGGCGCUCACGAGCUGGAUGGAAUAUGGACGCAAUAAUAAGAAGCAGAAGUACACUACGGUAUGCAUCUGAUGGUAAUUCCACAGUGUUGUGUUGUUCCAGGUGUGCAGCAGCCGUCUACGAGGCUCCAUUGGAAAGGGUGGGGGGGCGUUGAAGGUGUUGAUGGGGGGUCUCGUUGCUAAGAUAACACCAAAACACAAUGAACCUCACGUGACACGCGAGCAGCACUUCCUGAGCCUCAGCUACACCAGCAGUUUCCCUGCCAGCACGAAGGGCUUCUAUUGUGAAAAGGUGUGUUUGCUUUGGCCCGUGCUCACCUUUUUGCCAUUAACUUGCCCCCCCCACACACACACACACACAAAUGCACUUAGCUGGUGAAAUCCAACCCUUACUGCAAAUUACCUUUGUCACCGAAGAUAAAAAAAGCCUUCCCCCCCCCCGUCUCAUUUGGGAAACAAGCAGUGUGUUAUUUUUUGCGAAUUUCAUUGGCGAUUUUUGGUGAGGCCCGCGCACCCCCCUGCCCCCCUCCCCCCACUCUCCACCUCGCCCCACGCACAUUCCUGGCAAAGUGCUGUAAAAUAAACGGCGGGCCACUACGUCUCAACGAGCAGAGACGGGGCGGGCGAGACAGAAAACAAGCACACGCCAGGGUAGAAAAAUGGGCGACUGGUAGAACGCAGGCUUUCGGCCUAUUGUUGUUACAGAUGGCCGCGCUCUCUCGGCGGGCCUUCGGUCGAUGUUCAUUAUGGGGUGGGGGGGGGCAGAGUGCGAAAAGAGUAAAAGAAUCAAUUGUGAAACGCGAGAGGCGAACGACAGAAACACCGGAGGAUUUAUUGGGUUUGCGUUCACCGCCAAAGCUCGACACGCAAUGUGGUCCGGGCCUUCAAGAGAGCUUUGUGUUGGCCCGACGUGGAAUUUCAUCAAUUUGAAUUUACAACAUGAAGGUGGCAUCCGGGCUGCUUCUUCGCUCAUGAUUCAUACGGAUAAAAUAAGGCAUUUUAAGGAUUAAGCUUUGAUGGGAUGCUGGAUGAGACCGGCUCGUAAUACGUGAGAAAUCUCCCCUCAGUUCUCAUUCUGGACUUAAGUUCGUGGUCUCAACCCCCCCGAGUCGUCUUCAACACAGCAAUUCAUUCAACGUCGCGCCGGCGCACACAGCCAAGCGUUAGCAACUAGCAAGGUGAAGCGUUGGGAAUGCUGUGGGUCAUGGAGGUGUUCAUCCCACACUAACAAACCUGCCGCCUGUCCCUCCACGUGCUGUUGGAGCCUCGGCGAUGUAACCGGUGCAGAUCAAGGCGUUGCGGGUUCAACGUGAAGAAAGUGACGACGCCGACCAUCCUUGGACCGUCAUUAGAGGCGGUUGAACCUCGUCUUUUGCCCGGGACCGCAGUUUAAACACCGUACUUGUGUCUCUGCCGUACGAUGUGUAAUGAAAGAUUUGCUCCGCGGAAGUCAUAAAUACGCGCAAAGGCCGCCGCGUGUUUGCAAUAAGUGGAUGUCCGCAUGCACACGCCCUGCAUCUGCCUCUGUUCCUAUGCAUGUGUUUUUGCGAGGGGGAGGAGGGGAGGUAACAGCUGUCAACGGCUUCACACCCUCAGCGUCACGGCUGCCGUGGACGCUUCGCCCGGCACAUCCCGCGUGGAAACAGCUGGAGUUCCGCCGCUCGGGUACUCCGCCUUCAGCGAGCGUCCAACCGGGGGGAGGCGAAGAGCGCGAGACGGGCAGGCCAAGUUAAGGGGGCCGGAUUGAAUAUCCGUCGAGAGCAAUUUCACGUGAAGCAAAGAAAUUGGGACGCGUGCUUUCCAGAGAAAACAAAAAGACGUAGGGACUCAAUUAAAAAACGAGAGUGAAAACAAGGCCGAUGGCUCACAAGAGGGGGACCAAAGAAGGCAGAAAGUUUUCGCAAUGAGGAAAGAAAAGGUGAAAAACAGACCGGGGACACAGAGUUCAAAUGGGAAAACAGGAGGGAGAAUUCCACCGCGCGACUCUCUGUGGAGGUGCAAGGUGGAGUGAUGGAGGAAGGGGGAGAGAACCUAAAGCUCUGCUGCCGUCGACUCUGUGGUUGCAAUUUCCUCUCCGAUACUGUAACCCGAAGACGGGCAGCUCGUAUGAAAACACCCCGACGGUGGGGCUCGGGUCGCGCUUUGACGUCAAGAGGGGAUCUCCCAUGAGGCCGCGGGGGGGGGGACCGCGCCAAAUUCCUCUCGUCCGAUUCGCCGGAUCACCCUCGCGCUCGGGACGUCCCUCUAUGACUGCGUUUCGUCACGGGCGAAGAGUCGCCGAAGGCAUCAACUCUUUUUUGCUUUCAUUAGGUGGUGACCAGCCUCACCGCUCGGGGUGUUUUUAAUAGGAUUUUCUCAGAAAUCACUUGCGGGCGUUUGGUAGUUUGAGCAUAAGCAGCUCAUUUUUCAUUUGACCUCAUCUUAACUGUUGAAUGUGCAACACAUUGCAACCAUGACAUUUAUUCCUUCGUUUUCUGCACAAUAUUUUGACCAAAUUGUUUUUAAGAAUCAAGUUCAUGCUGAACACAUUGUUUUCAUUCACUCGCUUUCAUUGCUGGACGUUUAUUUGCUACAUUGAUAAUCAACCUCUUUCGUUAUGCUUGUAUUGAGCAAAUACACGAGAGAGCAGUAUAAUGAAAUGUUUACUGAGAAAUGAUGUUUUUUAGGUGAACCCAAGUAGGCCUGUGGCCAGUAGGCCUUUUGGAAGGUUUCCACCUGCACAGCUGGCUGUAUUUUUCCUUAAAGGGAGUCAUUUAACUUUGACCUGAAUUGGACCAAGCAGAAAACACUGAGGUUCAGCGAACCCGCGGCCGACACCUGAGGACAGAAGAUCAAAAGCUUCAGGUACCAACCCGGCGCUGCUGUAAAAAACGCUCAUACAUAUUCUCAUUUCCUGGAAGGUCCCACAGGCUGAGCAGGUAACACCUGCACAAAGAAGCAACACCGCGAGCACAACAACAACGGCGACAGCGAGCGCGGCGCGGCCCGACCCGGCCCUCUCAUCUCCGCUCGGCCCCACUUGAAGAGCGUGUUGGUCCAUGCCGGGCGAAGGAGGGAGGGCCGGCUCUCCUCUGUAAUCAUGCCUUCUCCCACCUAACAGACAGCUGUGUAACCAGGUGAGUCGCAGGGCUUUCAUCCUAAUGACAACCCCCGGCCCGCUGCUGUCAACGGGGGCUGAAGGGGCUUAAGGCCGACCGUAGGGGGGGGAUUAGGAGCGGGACUGGGGGGAAACAGCGAUUCGUUACGUAACAAACAAUCCGCCCUUUUGGAAAGGGCGCGGCGGUGGGGUAACCGCGCUCGCCGGCGUCCAGUUUCGUCCUACGUACGUUUCGUCUCCCCCCCCCCCGGGCCAGAUGGACGUCGGACCAGGUGGCGCGCUGUGCAGAAGACACACACGGGCGCUCGAAUGUCGAUAGGCGAAGGCAGCCGGCCACACGUCCACCAUGAGACCACUUUCACAUAGUAGGUGCAGAAAUCCUCACGCUGACAGAGCUUACACGUGUAGCGCACUGCAGGAAAUGUCUCGCCGCCCGUGAAGCUUACACCCUUGGGGAGGCUGAAAUGAUCCCCACCAGAUUUGGGGGCAGCGUAAACGCACAAGGGUACACACACACACACACGGGAUGAUUCUCAAAAGGGCAUUCAGUUGGAAUUGGAUACGUGCAGGUGUUACGCACGUGUGGCGAACUGCGCAUUUGCUGCGCUCACUGACGCAUUGGAAGAAGUAAUGAGCCUUUUGUGAUCAAUUCAACAACACCACAGGAAAUUAUUCGGGACUUUCAGACGUUCAGGUGGAAAUUUAGGAACAUUAUCUUCUAGCUUUGACCAGCUAGAAGAUAAAAGCAAGGAUUCAUGAACGUCAUUGAGUCCAAAAAAUACUCAAUGAGUGCAACGCAGCAACGUGGUGACGGGCAACGCUGUACCCCCAACGGACCCUGCCAGAGGUUACAGCUUGCAUAUCUUGACAUUGACGUUGUCCAUGUGUCAGUUAAGCCCCCCUCCUCCACCCCCACACACACACACGCACACGCACACACCUCCCUCUUCUUUUCUGUCCAUUUCUCGGAAGAGGCACCGGGGAGCGGUGGACAGAGUAUGGGCCUCUCUUUCUAUGUCAACCUCCACCAUCAGAUCUCUCCUUUGGUCUCCCCCUCUAUGUGCAUUUUUGAAUGAACAUUUUACCCAACCUUGGAUAUCAACCGUUUCUAGUGUUCAAUUCAUUUUCGGAAGGGGUGUGUGUGUGUGUGUGUGUGUGUGUGUGUUUCUGUGUGCCGGAUUACAGUUUGUGUUUGUCCUCGCCGUCAAGGGGAACAAGAAUAUGAAAGUUUAGCACAAUGUCUUUCUCGGUAAGCAGAAGCUCCAAUAAAAGAGGAUUAUCAGAGGAUUUGGCCUUGAAGUUCUUGAACUCGUACUGUUCAACACAUACGUACUGUUUCCGCCCGAUUCAAAAGAAACACACCGUGAAAGUGCACCGAACGCCGCGGUGCGGCACACGUUGUUCCGACUCUUCUCCGCAAAGUGUUAAUAGUUAAAACCUGACAUCCUCGGAUUGGUGUUGAGAAUCUCACUGGCAGAUAUGAAAUGUAGCGUUCCUCGUCUUUGUUGUAAAAGGAGGCAAUGUGGCUGUUCUGUUCUGUGCCAGAAGACGCCCACGCACCCCAUGUGUUCCGUUCGCUUCUGUUGCACACGAGAUGCGUGCACACACACACACAUACAAACACACACACACAUGCAGAGAAACGGUUCAGUAUGCAUGAUAUUCCUACUCUGCAUAGAGAUGGAUCUGUUUCCAUAGUAGGUGUUAGUUAACACAGAAAGUACUAAAGGAAGCCAUCUAUUUAUCUGACCAUCUAUUUCUCUUCCAAAGUGAGAUGUAACGUCUUUGGAGGGGGGGGGGACGUAUCAAUCCAAUUAAAAUCAUAAUGUGCCUUCCUGCAUCUCAGCACACAUUCUCUGAGGCUGCUCGAGGUGGAUGACAAAAAAUCCAAUACAUCUGUGUCCAGUCUAUGCUAAUUUAGGUUAACUAAAUUAGUUCACCUGUCACUCAGCCCCACGUUGUCUAUCGUACCCCGGUUUGUUUUUACAUAGCUGCUCACUAUUUUUAAAUGUGAGACAAACGUUUAAAACAUCCUGUGCUUUGUGACGGUUACUCCUCUCUUCAGAUAUGAAUUACUCUUAACAACGCAUGAUACACACUUCAUAAUGACACUAUAUGGAUUGUUUAUGUUUAGCAGUAGAUGAUCCUGCUGCAUGAGCUUAUCAUGUAGAAACGUCUUAAAUGUUACAAUAGAGCUAAAAAAAAAUGACUCUUUAUGUGAAAAGGGAUUUAAAUAAAAUCUGGGAAGACGGCGCAUCUUUACACCCUAACAGAUGGCGCACUCUAAAUUCUUCCCAGACGGUUCUCUGUAUCCAACUGAUUUGCAAAUGAGGAUCCAUCCUUGCUAACAAAACAUCAGAUUAUGGAAGAAAAUUGCCUUAAAAUGCUGCUUCAUUGUGACUUCAGGCGAGGCCAAACGUCCCCAACAGUUCAGGAUCACGAGCGGUUGUCCCAAAUCCUGAGUCAUAGCGUUGCUAUGAGCGGUUGAAUUAAAGAGGGAACGAGUCCACAACCUGCGAUAGCCGAUGUGCAGCCAAACACCCGUCCGAAGAGAGGGUUCCAAGUACCAAGAGUUUACAAUCAGAUUCCCACUUCUCUGAGUGCAUCCACGUCACAGCUAGCCGGUUCAUACGCCCGCUGUUUAAAAUAACCGCCUUACCACAUUCGACCUCCACCUUCCUCGGUCCGUCAUCGAUCCAAAGAAACGGGGAAGGAUGAAACUGUGCCAAAGCUCUCGAGCGUAAUUAAACACACAUUUCUCUCUGCAUGAAAAGAAGAAGAAGAAAAAUAGAAAAGAUUUGAUUGAUCUCAUUUGUAGCACUUGUUCGAAGAAAAACUGCCCCUCCGAGGUCAGCUAGCAGCUAGCAUGUAUUCAGCAUGACUCAUUUGCCUAAAGCGCAAAUUCCUUGAAAGUAUGAACUGAUGUCAAAAAUGGAUGUUGCUGCGCUCACAUUCGCACCCCCACGAUACUACUGCUGGUUGGCCCACCCACACAUACACAUACAAAGCAUGCAUGCACGUGCAAACACACACACGAGCAUGCACUCAAACACACGUGCAGACUGUGUGUGUUUUUCAUGCAUGUCUAGUAGCUAUGUGGAGAGGAUCUUUGAUCUCAGCCAGGAAGCCAACCAGCUCCUCCACUAUUUGCAUUUAGUCUCCUGGGUCUGUUGGCUUCUUGGCCCCUCACCAGCUUCAGAUGCAGGUUACAGAGGUAGCCAGAGGGAGAUUCACACACAUUCCAGUUUGUGAGAGCGUGUGUGUGUGUGAUUCUGUGCAUGCAUGAGCCUGUGUUGUUGCUGUGAACGUGUGUCUGUAUAGGUGUGUAUGUAAGAAAAAGAGGGAAUGAAGAAGAGAGAGUACCUGCGCACGGCAUCAUUUCAAAGUACAGCAGCCUUACAGAGAGAAAUAGUGAGUCGGAGAGAGGUGAUGGCAGAGGGGAAACAAGCUUUGGAUGUGGAGAGAAUGGGGGAGAGGGAGAGAAUAAGACGUGAACAGAGAGAGGCCUCUCCAGGAGGUCACUGGGUUUCUGGUUCUCCGCUCCUUUUGUCCCACAGCACAUUCCAUAGCAACAAUCUGACCAGUCAGCCAGGGAGCUGCAAAAAAUGAGAGGAAAUAUCGUCUCUAUACCUCUGACUGUAUAGAAACUGUAUAGAAACACAUGCAGAGAACAACGCGACCCCCCCCCAAAAGGCCACGGGCCAAUUGUCUUUGAUUAUUUAGAUCUCCAUUGCGUUGAACUUCCAGGGCCUCGUGUAGUAACGCUUUUGCGGCCACUUCAGGCACAUUUUUCUCGCAAUGAGCGCGUAAAAGCCUGGUGAGGUUUUUACAAACGUGCCACACUGAAGUCGCGGAAACUGAAAAAUGGCAAAUUGCACUUUCCCGUGUCAUGCAUAUGCAUUCACAGGAGGGUCAAGGACAAAGUAGGAGUUCCCCCAUAAAGAGAUGGGAAGGGAUGCGUAAAGUGCCCUUAAUUGUUAAUUCUGCGGUAUGUACAGAAGCCGUCUGUGGAAGCGCGCCUCCUUUGUGCGGUGAAAAUUCUCUCUCGCUUCUUGAAAGCAGGUAAUGCGGGUUUCCUCGCAUAUGCCUCCUGGUGAAAUGACAGCAGUAAUCCGACCAAGACGGCGACAAAGGCCGAGGAGACGAGCGGCCGUGCAAUAUUACAGUUACUGGAAGAAAUUGCAUCUCCCACUCAGCGUUGACAUUCCGGCAGUUGCUAAACUCCUUGCUGGAAAAAUGAAAGAUGACAUUGUGUCGCCGACUCA
ensembl:lncRNA